rnacentral:rRNA from 1 species
GACGAACGCUGGCGGCGUGCUUAACACAUGCAAGUCGAACGGAAAGGCCCUGCUUUUGUGGGGUGCUCGAGUGGCGAACGGGUGAGUAACACGUGAGUAACCUGCCCUUGACUUUGGGAUAACUUCAGGAAACUGAGGCUAAUACCGGAUAGGAGCUCCUGCUGCAUGGUGGGGGUUGGAAAGUUUCGGCGGUUGGGGAUGGACUCGCGGCUUAUCAGCUUGUUGGUGGGGUAGUGGCUUACCAAGGCUUUGACGGGUAGCCGGCCUGAGAGGGUGACCGGCCACAUUGGGACUGAGAUACGGCGCAGACUCCUACGGGAGGCAGCAGUGGGGAAUAUUGCACAAUGGGCGGAAGCCUGAUGCAGCAACGCCGCGUGCGGGAUGACGGCCUUCGGGUUGUAAACCGCUUUCGCCUGUGACGAAGCGUGAGUGACGGUAAUGGGUAAAGAAGCACCGGCUAACUACGUG